CAUAGGUUAAUGAGGCGAACCGGGGGAACUGAAACAUCUAAGUACCCCGAGGAAAAGAAAUCAACCGAGAUUCCCCCAGUAGCGGCGAGCGAACGGGGAGGAGCCCAGAGCCUGAAUCAGUGUGUGUGUUAGUGGAAGCGUCUGGAAAGGCGCGCGAUACAGGGUGACAGCCCCGUACACAAAAAUGCACAUAUUGUGAGCUCGAUGAGUAGGGCGGGACACGUGGUAUCCUGUCUGAAUAUGGGGGGACCAUCCUCCAAGGCUAAAUACUCCUGACUGACCGAUAGUGAACCAGUACCGUGAGGGAAAGGCGAAAAGAACCCCGGCGAGGGGAGUGAAAAAGAACCUGAAACCGUGUACGUACAAGCAGUGGGAGCCUCUUAAUGGGGUGACUGCGUACCUUUUGUAUAAUGGGUCAGCGACUUAUAUUCUGUAGCAAGGUUAACCGAAUAGGGGAGCCGAAGGGAAACCGAGUCUUAACUGGGCGUUAAGUUGCAGGGUAUAGACCCGAAACCCGGUGAUCUAGCCAUGGGCAGGUUGAAGGUUGGGUAACACUAACUGGAGGACCGAACCGACUAAUGUUGAAAAAUUAGCGGAUGACUUGUGGCUGGGGGUGAAAGGCCAAUCAAACCGGGAGAUAGCUGGUUCUCCCCGAAAGCUAUUUAGGUAGCGCCUCGUGAAUUCAUCUCCGGGGGUAGAGCACUGUUUCGGCAAGGGGGUCAUCCCGACUUACCAACCCGAUGCAAACUGCGAAUACCGGAGAAUGUUAUCACGGGAGACACACGGCGGGUGCUA
rnacentral:rRNA from 1 species